rnacentral:rRNA from 1 species
AGUGAACGCUGGCGGUAGGCCUAACACAUGCAAGUCGAACGGCCGCACAGUAAGAGCUUUCUCUUACGGGUGGCGAGUGGCGGACGGGUGAGGAAUACAUCGGAAUCUACUUUUUCGUGGGGGAUAACGUAGGGAAACUUACGCUAAUACCGCAUACGACCUACGGGUGAAAGCAGGAGAUCUUCGGACCUUGCGCGAUUGAAUGAGCCGAUGUCGGAUUAGCUAGUUGGCGGGGUAAAGGCCCACCAAGGCGACGAUCCGUAGCUGGUCUGAGCGGAUGGUCCGCCACACUGGAACUGAGACACGGUCCAGACUCCUACGGGAGGCAGCAGUAGGGAAUCUUGCGCAAUGGGCGGAAGCCUGACGCAGCAACGCCGCGUGGGUGAUGAAGGUCUUCGGGUUUUAAAACCCUUUUUUUAGGGAAGAAAAAAUGUGUAAGUAACUCUCCGCGUUUUGACGGUACCCAAACAAAAAGCCACGGCUAACUUCGUG